UACGUAGGGGGCAAGCGUUGUCCGGAAUCAUUGGGCGUAAAGAGCGUGUAGGCGGCCAGAAAAGUCCGCUGUGAAAACUCGAGGCUCAACUUCGAGCUGUCGGUGGAAACUUUCUGGCUAGAGUCCGGAAGAGGAGAAUGGAAUUCCUGGUGUAGCGGUGAAAUGCGCAGAUAUCAGGAAGAACACCCGUGGCGAAGGCGGUUCUCUGGGACGGUACUGACGCUGGAGACGCGAAAGCGUGGGAGCGAACAGG
rnacentral:rRNA from 1 species